GGGAAUAUUGCGCAAUGGACGAAAGUCUGACGCAGCGACGCCGCGUGUGGGAGGAAGCCUUUCGGGGUGUAAACCACUGUCAGAGGGGAAGAACGCCGUCUAGUCGAAUAGGCUAGGCGGGUGACGGUACCCUCAAAGGAAGCGCCGGCUAACUCCGUGCCAGCAGCCGCGGUAAGACGGAGGGCGCAAGCGUUGUUCGGAAUUACUGGGCGUAAAGCGCGGGCAGGCGGUCUGUUAAGUCAUUUGUGAAAACCCGGGGCUCAACCCCGUGGAAUGCAGGUGAUACUGGCAGACUAGAGACCAGUAGAGGCUAGCGGAAUUCCUGGUGUAGCGGUGGAAUGCGUAGAUAUCAGGAAGAACACCUGUGGCGAAGGCGGCUAGCUGGGCUGGAUCUGACGCUCAUCCGCGAAAGCGUGGGGAGCAAA
rnacentral:rRNA from 1 species